AUUGAACGCUGGCGGCAGACCUAACACAUGCAAGUCGAGCGGAUGAAGGGAGCUUGCUCCUGGAUUCAGCGGCGGACGGGUGAGUAAUGCCUAGGAAUCUGCCUGGUAGUGGGGGAUAACGUCCGGAAACGGGCGCUAAUGCCGCAUACGUCCUGAGGGAGAAAGUGGGGGAUCUUCGGACCUCACGCUAUCAGAUGAGCCUAGGUCGGAUUAGCUAGUUGGUGGGGUAAAGGCCUACCAAGGCGACGAUCCGUAACUGGUCUGAGAGGAUGAUCAGUCACACUGGAACUGAGACACGGUCCAGACUCCUACGGGAGGCAGCAGUGGGGAAUAUUGGACAAUGGGCGAAAGCCUGAUCCAGCCAUGCCGCGUGUGUGAAGAAGGUCUUCGGAUUGUAAAGCACUUUAAGUUGGGAGGAAGGGCAGUAAGUUAAUACCUUGCUGUUUUGACGUUACCAACAGAAUAAGCACCGGCUAACUUCGUG
rnacentral:rRNA from 1 species